CCCUUAGAUGUUCUGGGCCGCACGCGCGCUACACUGAUCAGUGCAACAAGCAUCCGUCCUUGGCCGACAGGCCCGGGCAAUCUUUGAACGCUGAUCGUGAUGGGGAUAGACUUUUGCAAUUUUUGGUCUUCAACGAGGAAUUCCUAGUAAACGCAAGUCAUCAACUUGCAUUGAUUACGUCCCUGCCCUUUGUACGCACCGCCCGUCGCACCUACCGAUUGAAUGGUCCGGUGAAGCCUCCGGAUUGGCGUGCACCCUCGGGUGCUGCCGAGAAGUUGGCUAAACCUUACCAUUUAGAGGAAGGUGAAGUCGUAACA
rnacentral:rRNA from 1 species